UACAGAGGGGGGCUAGCGUUGUUCGGAAUUACUGGGCGUAAAAGGGCGCGUAGGCGGCCCCUCUAAGUCGAAACGUGAAAAUCCCCCAGGCUCAACCCUGGGGAACUGCGUGUGAUACUGGCGGGCUUGAAUUCGGAGAGGGAUGUGGAAUUCCAGGUGUAGCGGUGAAUGCGCAGAUAUCAGGAAGAACACCGUGGCGAAGGCGGCUCUCUGGACGGUACUGACGCUGAGACGCGAAGCGUGGAGCGAACAGG
rnacentral:rRNA from 1 species